rnacentral:rRNA from 1 species
GGGUCAGUAGGUCGGUCGUGCCACUGGUAUGAACUGGUUUUACUGAUUCCUCCCUCUUGAAGAACUGUAAUGCCAUUAAUUUGGUGUUGCAGGGAACCAGGAAUUUUACUUUGAGAAAAUUAGAGUGUUUAAAGCAGGCUCACGCUUGAAUACAUUAGCAUGGAAUAACGGAAUAGGACGUUUGAUUCUAUUUUGUUGGUUUCUAGGAUCGACGUA